rnacentral:rRNA from 1 species
GACGGAAGGUGCAAGCGUUGUUCGGAUUCAUUGGGCGUAAAGGGUGCGUAGGUGGCGAGGUUAGUCAGGUGUGAAAUCUCGGGGCUCAACCCCGAAACUGCACUUGAUACUGCCUUGCUAGAGUACUGGAGAGGAGAUUGGAAUUUACGGUGUAGCAGUGAAAUGCGUAGAUAUCGUAAGGAACACCAGUGGCGAAAGCGGCUUCCUGGUCCAGCACCGACGUUCAGGCACGAAAGCGUGGGGAGCAAACAGG